rnacentral:rRNA from 1 species
GCCCCGGUAAACGGCGGCCGUAACUAUAACGGUCCUAAGGUAGCGAAAUUCCUUGUCGGGUAAGUUCCGACCUGCACGAAUGGCGUAAUGAUGGCCAGGCUGUCUCCACCCGAGACUCAGUGAAAUUGAACUCGCUGUGAAGAUGCAGUGUACCCGCGGCAAGACGGAAAGACCCCGUGAACCUUUACUAUAGCUUGACACUGAACACUGGUCCUUGAUGUGUAGGAUAGGUGGGAGGCUUUGAAGCGUGGACGCCAGUCUGCGUGGAGCCGUCCUUGAAAUACCACCCUUUAAUGGCUGGUGUUCUAACGUAGACCCGUUACCCGGGUUGCGGACAGUGUCUGGUGGGUAGUUUGACUGGGGCGGUCUCCUCCCAAAGAGUAACGGAGGAGCACGAAGGUUAGCUAAUCCUGGUCGGACAUCAGGAGGUUAGUGCAAUGGCAUAAGCUAGCUUGACUGCGAGAGUGACGGCUCGAGCAGGUGCGAAAGCAGGUCAUAGUGAUCCGGUGGUUCUGAAUGGAAGGGCCAUCGCUCAACGGAUAAAAGGUACUCCGGGGAUAACAGGCUGAUACCGCCCAAGAGUUCAUAUCGACGGCGGUGUUUGGCACCUCGAUGUCGGCUCAUCACAUCCUGGGGCUGAAGUAGGUCCCAAGGGUAUGGCUGUUCGCCAUUUAAAGUGGUACGCGAGCUGGGUUUAGAACGUCGUGAGACAGUUCGGUCCCUAUCUGCCGUGGGCGCUGGAGAAUUGAGGGGGGCUGCUCCUAGUACGAGAGGACCGGAGUGGACGCAUCACUGGUGUUCGGGUUGUCAUGCCAAUGGCACUGCCCGGUAGCUAAAUGCGGAAGAGAUAAGUGCUGAAAGCAUCUAAGCACGAAACUUGCCCCGA